CUGCAAGUGAAAAGUUGCGACUGUUAUGAUUGUCUUUGAGUGUACUCCGUUAACACGUUGACGUUGUUAGUGACUUGAUGAGGAAACAAAUAUUUUUGUGUUGCUUGAAGAGCUGUGUUGUAGGUGUUUUAGCAGAUGCUACAUGAUAAGUAUGAAUACCGCCGCCAUAAAGAGUUCCGACGCAGCAAACAUCUCGCAUGUUUGAUUCGGUGUUGCAGUAAGACCACACCCUUGUUUAAUGGAUGCUGGUAUUGCAUUGAUGUUCGUGCGAAACGAAACUGUGUAGUACCAAAUUGUCGUGGAAUAAUUUCAUAGCUGUCAUCGUUCACCGAAUGUGACGGAUGUUUAAAUUCAGAGCUACCGUAUCUGCUGUUGGCAUUUUUGUGUGAAAAAAACAGAAGUUCUGUGGUGAUGCUUCUUUGAUUAUUUACAGCAAAUCAGCCUGUCAGGAGAUGGAAAUCUAAAUAAGAGAGAUUAGUUUCCUACUGAUGUUGAAGGAUGUAGUUCAUGGUUUCCCAAAGCUUUCCCAUAACAGCUAAUUUAUUAUAGUUACAAUCAGCGUGGUCCUCAAUCCAGUGAGUACUGCUGAACGAGAGGGAAGCUUAAAUCAGAUGGAUUUGUUUCACACUGAUGCUAAAGGCAGAAGUUCCUUGUUUCCAGAUGAUCGUCCCAAUGAGCUAAAAUAUUAAUACUUGGAGCCAUCAAUAAGAUGUCUGUACAUUUUGGUGUUUAUAGAUUAAAAAGAGUAUUUCCUUAUAAA